rnacentral:misc_RNA from 1 species
AACAUCGCGCACCUGCGGGAACCUGCGGAAGGAUCAUUAAUGAUUGGUGGCUGUUGCUGACUAGUGUUUCUAGUAUGUGCACGCCACACCUUCAAUCCCACUUACACCUGUGCACCUUCUGUAAUAGAUCUAUGUGGAUACGGAGAUAUGAAAGUUUGCGCUCUCGUACUCUGUUGAAGCAGUUUACUACGUUUUUUUACACACACACAAUAGUCAUUGAAUGUAUUUUUUAUUCUUAUG